ACAUACACACCCCGAAGAGCAUUAAAGGCACAGCAGAUGGAGACAGGACACACAGCUGCUCUGAGGACCGUCCCUCCGAGGACUGGCCCUCUGAGGACGGUCAAGAUUUCCACUUAGCGCAGGCAGGCUGUCCUGAAGUUCCAUGGAAAGGCCGAGCCUCUCCCAGCCCCAAGGGGUGAGCGCCCCCGCUCAGAAAAGUCAUCAAGAGCCAAGUACCAGGAGCAUGGAAGGAAGCAGUGACCCAGUGACACAUUAAGUUCCUCCCACGCCACCUGAAACAGUGUGUGAGCCGGGCCAGCACAACUUUGGAACAAAUCCCCUUCAGCUCAUCCCUCCAACCAGAUAGCUAUUUCUAAAGUCCCCCCAAUCUCUCCAUCUGCAACCCUCACAAUUUGGAGCUGCCACUACACUCACAGGGGCUCACAGAGAGACUGUGUGCUACAGUAGAAGAAGUCAGAUUUGGACAAGUACAUCUAAUAGUUCCGACUGAUCAAGAAACAAAUCUGUUUCAAUUAGUAGAACCCUUGGAGGCAAGGGAUAAAAACUCAACCUGAAGAACAGAAGAAGGGAAUUUAUCAACACAUAUAAAUGAAAAGUCCAUGGGGAAUGGGGAUAGCUCUCAACACGGCUGGAUCCAUAUACACACUCGCCAGGAGUCUUGAUUUUUCUGUCCUCUGUGCUGGCUUCAUUUCCAGCUGGCACUCUGCACAUGGUAGCAAAGAGGGCCACCAGCAGCUGAAGGUUCUAUGCUACCAGCUCAGAAACUCCAGCUGAGAGCUUAUGCCUCUUUCCCAGCGGUUCUAGCAAAAGUCCUGAGAUGGAUUCUCAUUGUCUAACUUGGAUCAUGUGCCCAUCACUUAACCAGCCUCUGAGUUACGUGCUGGCUCCUGGAGCUAGGGUGGGACAGACCCCCUGCGGCACAUGGACUGAGUGAGAAAGGGCAUCCUCCAGAGCAAGGGGUCAGGGGGAAGGGUGUCGGAAAGACAGAAACCAAGGAUAGCCCUAAACAGGAGGCUUAGCCGUCUGAACCACAUUCACCCCGGGCUUUGUCUGUUCUCAGUGUGGUGCAUCCUCAGUGUUAUUUCACAAAGAGUUGUUCCCAGUCAAGAAUCCAAGCACAGUCAGCUCUCCGGGGCGCCCCUUGUGCUCCCUUCCAGGUGCCCCUCGUGCUCCCUUCCAGGUGCCCCUCGUGCUCCCUUCCAGGCACUGCCCUCCUAAGGGUAACCACUAUCCUGCUUCUAACACCACAGAUACAUUUUGCCUGUUAUUACACUUCAUAGAAACAGCAUUGCAUGGAUUGUGCUUUUAUGACUGUGCACUUUUCCGUAGGUACAUUAUACAUCAAUAAAAAGUUUAUUUAAAAAAAAGAGCUGAUUAUGAAAUUUUCCUCACUUUACCAACAUCAGAAACUGUGCAACUUUCAAGGACUUUCUCAGCUUUUUCAGAAAUGGCCUUGUCUCCAAAUGAAACAAUCUCUUGGAUAACGAAUUCUUUCAGCAUCUGCAGUAAACCACAGGUGGCCAAGGUCACAGGCAGUGGGGCCCAUGCGAGGGGCUUGCUAUGCUCUUCGGCCUCCUACCUGCUUCUGCACAGCCUUUCAGCCUGGGCUCUGUCUUCUCACAGCGGGGCGUUUGGGAAGACACUUUGCUGUUCUUUGCAUCUGGAUGGCAGAGGUCAGCAGAGGGCAGCUGUCAACCAAGCAACGGCCUGCCAGUAAGCCUUUGAAGGCUCGUGGGCAGAAGAGAGAGAUGGCAUUGCUGGGUCACUCCAGAGCAGUGAUUCAGGGACCCCUUAAAGAAUGAUGACAGUUACAAACUCUGCCUUGCACCUCUCAAUGCUGAAGCUCAUCUGUGGAUAAACCCCAAAAGUCUAUGGAUUCCAGGUGAAAACUUCUCUAUAGGGCAGAACUAGAGCAAGCCAACAGGUGACACUGGCCACCCUUGGGAGGAAGGGUGUCCCUCUGCCCUAGAAUUGUGCAUGCAGGGGAUGGACGGGCUUCUAUAAGGUUUGUUAUAGACAAGACUUCCUGGAAUGGGUGAGAAGGUGGAUUACAUUAUCUUUAAGGCUCUUUCUAAGGCUCUGAUUCCAUGAUUCUAACAAAGCCCCUCUAAUGGUCCUAACAGCAGACCAGAGACUAGACCAUCAAUGUUAAUUCCUCAAAACAAAACAAAACACGGAAUUACCAUGUAACUGAGUAAUUCCACUCCUAAGUAUAUACCCCAAAGAACUGAACACAGGCAUUCAAACAAAUAAUUGUACAUGAAUGUUUUUAGCAGCACUAUUCAACGUAGCCAAAAGGUAGAAACAACACAAAUGUCCAUCGACAGAUAAACAGAUCAACAAAAUGUUGUACAUCCAUGCAUGCAAUGGCAUAUUAUUCAGCUUUAAAAAGGAAUGAAGUUCCAACACAUGCUCCAAUACAUGAAUGAGCCUUGGAAACACGAUGCUAGAAGAAGUCAGAUACAAAAGGCCACAGAUUGUAUGAUUCCAUUUAUAUGAAAUGUCCAAAAGAGUUGACUCUACAGACAGAGAGCAGAUUAGCGGUGGCCAGGGGCCCGA